rnacentral:lncRNA from 1 species
UCCAUGGAAUGAUCCAUAAAAUAAUAGAAAUGCAAAUCAUUCUAUGGCAUGGGUUCUUCUCAUAUGAAUUCUAUGCCAUAGGCCAAAAACAAAGAAAAUACAAAUUAUGCUAUGUCAUGGGUUCUUUCAUACAAUUCCAUGACGUAAGUCACACAAAUUAUGUUAUGGCAUGGGUUCAUUCAUACGAACUCUAUGACAUGUGCCAUAAUAUAAGUGAAACGCAAACUAUGCUAUGACAUGGGUUCUUUUUAUGAUUUCCAUGGAAUAAUAAAAAAGUACACUAUGACAUGGGUUCCUCCACAAGAAUUCCAUGUUAUAUGUUGUAAAAUGCAAACUAUGUAAUGCCAUGGGCUCUUUCAUGAAUCCCAUGGCUCUAAUAAAAAUUAUACUAUGACAUGGGUUCUCUCAUAUGAAUUCCAUGGCAUACAACAUCCAAAUAACAAAACACAAUUAUGAAACGACAUGAGUUCUUUCAAAUGAAUUCCGUGGCAUGAACCAUUAACCAAAUAAAAUAGAAAUUAUGCUCUAAGCAUGGGUUCUCCUAAAUGAAUUCCAUGAUAUGAGUUGCAAAUAUUGAAAAUAUGUGGCCAAAUCAAGCCUGGCCAAAAUCAACCUUCAUCUUAAACCAUAACAUUAAUGAAGUUGAGCAUAAAAAAAUUGUUGCAUGAUAGAGAAACAUAUGGCAAAAUAUCAAACAUAACGGCGUCGAAGAUAAUCUACGCGGAUAAACUUCAAGUUCCCGAGGCCAACAUCGACCACGAGGAUGAUUUUUCUUGUAGCAUAUUGUAAUAGGAAUGUGUUGCAAUCUUAUGUAGUAGAUAUGUUGGAAUUCUCUUAAUCAGGUGUUUUCUCUUUGGAGAUGUAAUUAACAUAAACUUUAUGUAAAUGUAAGAAUUCUGGAAAUAUGUACC